rnacentral:rRNA from 1 species
ACCCUGCUUCCAAGAAAAGCCACUAAGCUUCAGCUACACACGACCGUACCGCAAACCGACACUGGUGCGCGAGAUGAGUAUUCUAAGGCGCUUGAGAGAACUCUGGAGAAGGAACUCGGCAAAUUGACACCGUAACUUCGGAAGAAGGUGUGCCCCUGGUAGGUGAAGUCGUACAGACGGAGCCCAAUGGGGUCGCAGAGAAUAGGUGGCUGCGACUGUUUAUUAAAAACACAGCACUCUGCAAAGACGAAAGUCGACGUAUAGGGUGUGACGCCUGCCCGGUGCUGGAAGAUUAAAUGAUGGGGUGCAAGCUCUUGAUUGAAGUCCCAGUAAACGGCGGCCGUAACUAUAACGGUCCUAAGGUAGCGAAAUUCCUUGUCGGGUAAGUUCCGACCUGCACGAAUGGCGUAACGAUGGCCACGCUGUCUCCUCCAGAGACUCAGCGAAGUUGAAAUGUUUGUGAUGAUGCAAUCUCCCCGCGGAAAGACGGAAAGACCCCAUGAACCUUUACUGUAGCUUUACAUUGGACUUUGAACAGAUCUGUGUAGGAUAGGUGGGAGGCUUUGAAGCCUGGUCGCUAGAUCAGGUGGAGCCAACGUUGAAAUACCACCCUGGUGUGUUUGAGGUUCUAACCUUGGCCCGUGAUCCGGGUUGGGGACAGUGUAUGGUGGGCAGUUUGACUGGGGCGGUCUCCUCCCAAAGCGUAACGGAGGAGUUCGAAGGUACGCUAGGCACGGUCGGAAAUCGUGCUGAUAGUGCAUUGGCAUAAGCGUGCUUGACUGCGAGACUGACAAGUCGAGCAGGUACGAAAGUAGGACAAAGUGAUCCGGUGGUUCUGUAUGGAAGGGCCAUCGCUCAACGGAUAAAAGGUACUCUGGGGAUAACAGGCUGAUACCGCCCAAGAGUUCAUAUCGACGGCGGUGUUUGGCACCUCGAUGUCGGCUCAUCUCAUCCUGGGGCUGUAGCCGGUCCCAAGGGUAUGGCUGUUCGCCAUUUAAAGAGGUACGUGAGCUGGGUUUAAAACGUCGUGAGACAGUUUGGUCCCUAUCUUCCGUGGGCGCUGCAAGAUUGAGAGAGCCUGCUCCUAGUACGAGAGGACCGGAGUGGACGCACCUCUGGUGUAUCGGUUGUCACGCCAGUGGCAUCGCCGAGUAGCUAAGUGCGGAAGAGAUAACCGCUGAAAGCAUCUAAGCGGGAAACUCGUCUCAAGAUGAGUCUUGCCGGGGCCUCGAGCCCCCUGAAGAGUCGUUCGAGACCAGGACGUUGAUAGGUCGGGUGUGGAAGCGCAGUAAUGCGUUAAGCUAACCGAUACUAAUUGCUCGUGAGGCUUGACCCU